rnacentral:rRNA from 1 species
CGGGGUGCUGCUCCAGUAACGAAUAUUGCGCAAUGGGCGAAAGCCUGACGCAGCGACGCCGCGUGUAGGAGGAAGUCCCUCGGGAUGUAAACUACUGUCAGGGUAAAGAAAGUGUACUUCGGUAUAUUGAUCUACCCCAGAGGAAGUCACGGCUAACUUCGUGCCAGCAGCCGCGGUAAGACGAAGGUGGCAAGCGUUGUUCGGUAUUACUGGGCUUAAAGCGUGUGUAGGCGGAUAAAUAAGCGUUUUGUGAAAUCCCUCAGCUCAACUGAGGAAUUGCUUGACGAACUGUUUGCUUGAGGCAAGUAGGGGUGCACGGAACUCUUGGUGGAGCGGUGGAAUGCGUAGAUAUCAAGAGGAACGCCAGUGGUGAAGACGGUGCACUGGGCUUGUUCUGACGCUGAGACACGAAAGCGUGGGGAGCAAACAGGAUUAGAUACCCGAGUAGUC